rnacentral:rRNA from 1 species
GUGCCAGCCGCCGCGGUAAUACAGAGGUCCCAAGCGUUGUUCGGAUUCACUGGGCGUAAAGGGUGCGUAGGCGGUCGGGUAAGUCUGACGUGAAAUCUCCAAGCUCAACUUGGAAAUGGCGUCGGAUACUAUUCGGCUCGAGGAAUGGAGGGGAGACUGGAAUUCUCGGUGUAGCAGUGAAAUGCGUAGAUAUCGAGAGGAACACCAGUGGCGAAGGCGAGUCUCUGGACAUUUCCUGACGCUGAGGCACGAAAGCCAGGGGAGCAAACGGGAUUAGAAACCCCCGUAGUCC